UGUGGAGUGUGUGUGUGUGUGUGUGUGUGUGUGUGUGUGUGUGUGUGUGUGUGUGUGUGUGUGUGUGUGUGUGUGUGUCUGACUAUGUGCUAAGUUUUAAUCCAGAUACAUAAUCGCUAGAUCACUUUAAGUGUAAAAACCAAGAUAGUGUUUAGUUCAGAGCUGUGACUGUGCCUUAAAAUGACUCCUUGUCUUUACCAUAGGAUGAUUAAUAAUGUAUUUGUUGGUAAUCUAUGGAGAGUAAUAGGUCAUAGCUUCACACGAGUAGAGUAGGAAAGCUGGCUGGGAUCUAAUAUAAGUAUACAUCUAAUGUACAUCUACAUGUAUUACAUCUAAUGUAAGUAUAUCUUGCAACGAUUACCUCGAUAUGGAAUAUAUCAUUAACGAAUGUGAAAAGGCAUUCACUUUUGUCAAAAGAGGGAAUCUUAAGAAACAAUCCUGCACAAAUAUUCAGUUCCACCUUAAAACACAUCCCACUACUACAAAAACCAGAGACCCAGAGCUCCUAUCAUCCUAUGAUCACAACAGUUAUAUAAGUAUCAUACAAUAACCAGCUGAUACACAUGAACAAUUCAUGCUAUAAAAACACAGCUACAGGAACAUAGCACUAGAGAACAAAAUCAAAUGACAGUUUUGCAUUUGCACGGAUUAGAAAAUGAGUUCUAAGGAUGUAUUUUAUAUGUAUGCCAAAGGUAUGUUCUUUGGUGACAGUGUCACUGUAGUAGGGUAGUAACGGAUUAAUUUGUCUUGAGAUAUCACGUAUAUAACCUGUUUGUUAGUGAACAGGCUGACAUUAGUGUUAACAAAGACCAAACUAAGAGUUGGGAUCGGUUGAGGUCACUUUUGGGCUGAUUGGCUGAUGGUAAUGGUAAGUUUGGGCCUUGUGUCUCAUGGUCUGACUGUCAGACGAUUGUAUUUAAGAGCUGAGGACAUCUUUACCAUGCCUGUGUUUGUUGUGAGGGGUUUGCUUUGACUCUUGCAUGUCAAUCCAUGUCCAAAGAGAGUUAGUGAAAGAAGGGCGUUUGAAUGGCGACCCGUUCUUCUUCAUUCAUCUUACGCGUCUGUCUGUGAUUUCUGUUUGUGUAGCAGUAAGACAGAUGUCUCCAGCAUGUCAUCUGUUUGUAUUUGUCUGUCAGUUAUCGUGUGUUUCACUUUCAUGUCCUCUCAUUCAUUCUGUCUUCUGCUUAGUGUCCUUGUCUGUAUUUCUUGUUUUCGAAUAAAACCGAAAAAAACAACAACUUUCUUAGCAUCUUUGAUCUGUCAUCUCGUCUCUGUUGGUCUCCGUUGUCGAUCAUGAUUUGUUUCCCCCACUCCCUCCCGUGUCAUGUCAUUGCUUCAUACUGUUGCGUACCGAUUAAAGAAUCAACUGACAUUCGUCACAUGCCAACCAAACAAGAAUGAUUGAACUACAACGAAGAUGUGCCAAUUGUCCUUGGGGCAAUGUCUGUACGUGUGUGUGUGUGUAUGUGUGUGUG
ensembl:lncRNA